UACGGAGGGUGCAAGCGUUAUCCGGAUUCACUGGGUUUAAAGGGUGCGUAGGUGGGCUUGUAAGUCAGUGGUGAAAUCUCCGUGCUUAACAUGGAAACUGCCAUUGAUACUAUAGGUCUUGAAUUUUCUGGAGGUCAGCGGAAUAUGUCAUGUAGCGGUGAAAUGCUUAGAUAUGACAUAGAACACCAAUUGCGAAGGCAGCUGGCUACAGGGAUAUUGACACUGAGGCACGAAAGCGUGGGGAUCAAACAGG
rnacentral:rRNA from 1 species